rnacentral:rRNA from 1 species
UACGGAGGGGGCUAGCGUUGUUCGGAAUUACUGGGCGUAAAGGGCGCGUAGGUGGCCUUCUAAGUUGAACGUGAAAUCCCUGGGCUCAACCCAGGAACUGCGUCCAAGACUGGGAGGCUUGAAUCCGGGAGAGGGAUGCGGAAUUCCAGGUGUAGCGGUGAAAUGCGUAGAUAUCUGGAGGAAUACCGGUGGUGUAGACGGCUCUCUGGACCGCCACUGACGCUGAGACACGAAAGCGUGGGUAGCAAACAGG